UCGCCUGGCUCAAUAGGCAGAGCAUCGUGCUAAAAACGUGAAGGUUGUGAGUUCGAGUCUCACUGUCUGGCGAG
rnacentral:tRNA from 1 species